rnacentral:lncRNA from 1 species
GCCUCGCUCAGUGGGUUAAGGAUCCGGCGUUACCAUGAGCUGUGGUGUAGGUCACAGACGUGGCUCAGAUUCCGUGUUGCUGUGGCUGUGGUAUAGGCUGGUGGCUACAGCUCCGAUUGGACUCCUAGCCUGGGAACCUCCAUAUGCCAGGAGUGGGGCCCUAAAAAGCAAAAAAAAAAAAAAAGAUUCAUUAUAUGGUUGCAUGUAGCAGUAGUUCUUUUUUACUGUGUGAAUGCACUGGAAUUUAUUUAUUCAGGAUCGAACCUGCAUCCUCAUGGAUACGAGUCAGAUUCGUUUCCACUGAGCCACAACGGGAACUCCGUUGUUCAUCUUCUUGUCUCCAGAACUUAGCAUGAUGCCUGGAUUAGUUUGUAUCUGUCUAAAAUGGGUUUAUGUCUCGUCUAGAUGGUCUGGGCCCCCAGAUCGUCAAAGGUCUUCUUCCCCUGUUGAGAGGCACAGGAUUGAACAGAUGUGGUGUCCUGAGCCGUCCGUUAGUCAUAGAUAACACAAAGGAAGUUAAGCUGCUGCUUUCCAUUGUAACCUUAUUUUUUGUUGCCUUGGCCUGGUUUGUUUUAGAUCUUGUUCCUGCCAUACCCUCAUAAUUUGAAAGAUUGGAUAAAACAGCUAAAUCUGACUCCUACUCCUGUGCCUUUUUAAAAUGCUUUUUCAAGGCAGCUAAGCAUCUUUCAGACGAUGCAUUGACACGUGAGAGACGGGUCUGUGACGUUUCGGCUGAAUACGCACCAUUGACAGCUGGCAUUUCCACCCACUGCACCCUCUCCAAAAAUCUGGACAGAACACAGGCCACCAGUCUCGGAGCUGGCGGACAUCCACCUUCCCACCCACUGCUGCUUGUUCCUCGGUCCACUCCGCACGCUUCCUUGGCAGGGCAAGCAGACUUCACACGCAGCUGCCCUCGUCCUCUCAGUUUAUCUGUUUGCCCCCCACUUGGGGGAGUGAAGUGUCAGUUUGCUUUUCCUGAACACCUGUUAGCACCCUAAGGCAUUACAGAUAAAACCUGGAGACCUUUCUGUGGUUGUGCUAAUGGCCUUUCCUUAUGCUCCGUAGAGGAUUUGACUGGAAACCAUCAAAUGCAGUGGAAAUUAUAAUUUCAGUGUUUGGCUGCAGUUGAAACAAAGCAUUGUGCUCUCUAACAGGAAGCCCACGGGAGGAACACGCUAGGGGCCAGAUUUAAGUGAUUCUUAAGUUUGGGUUCUCUAAAAGGUGAAGGUGUGUCUUUUCUAUAAUAACGAUUAACUAAAAAGCCAUUUCCUCUUUUAAUUAAUAAAAGGGGAAGAUGCCGAAUUUCUCCCGGUCCAUAUUUUUAAGGCAUAUGUGCAGUGUAUCGUGUUCUGAGACACCUGACCUUUAAGCCAUCAGACAGAAGGCUGUGUGCCAUAUAGAAAGGAAAUAUUUAGUUUGUCCAGACAGAGGAAGGGGGAAAAGAAAGGAAUUAGUCACCCUUACCAGAAGGUGCAGAGAAAGCAGAGCUCUGUGCCUUCCUACGGUUGAGGCAGAAGAGCCCGUGACAUCUUAGUGAACUUGUUAGGAGGCGAAGGCUACCAGAAACUUCUCCUCUCACUUUCCCUUAUUUUAAGAAUUAAGUUAAAAGGCUGAGAUCAUAGCAGGGAAAUCAUGCUGUGUUCUCAGUUUUGGUAUUUCUUUAAAGUCUUCCUGGGGUUUUGUUACAUGAUAAAUUUAGCAAACAUCAUGUGAUCUAAUCCCAGGCAGUUGUGAAAUGGAACAAAUUGUGGCUCUGCCCUUGGGAUCGGUUUGAUGCUCUUUAUUGAGCCAAAGAUUAGCACAGGCACCUCGGUCCCAGCAGGCUGCCUGGCCUCCCUCUGUAGGGAAUCAGUCCUGAUCGUGGAGACCGAAAAAGGAAGAGACUUGGUGGCAUUUCACCCACGUUGUAUUGACUCCCAAGAGUUUCUUGGUGAGUUACGCAUGUGCUUUUUCUCCCUGCUAGCCGAGCCCUGGAAAUUUCAGCUCAUAUUUCUGCUCCACGUGUAACGGGAUUUAAACAAAAUCAGUCUAGUCUGGACCCACUUUGCCUAAUAUUUGGAAAAUGUACUCCCUUUGAGGAAGGCAGGUAAAAGCAGGCUCACUUUCUCAGAGAACACAUUUGGGGAGGAUGCACCUUUGACUGCUCUGCGUAAAGCAUGGCUUUUGCACAUUGGUCCUUUUGAAGAAUCUGGUUCCAAAUCUAUUCCGGAAAGUUUAAGAGAUCUGGAUAAAUAAAUCAUCUCGGGACUGGGUAGUCUAGAAAUAUCAGCAAUCUCAAAACCCAAAACACCGAAUAAUAAAUUUUCUCUCUUCUUACAGGCCUUCUUUCAAGGCAAAUUGAAAGUCCUUGGCAACAUGGGUCUGGCUAUGAAGUUACAGAAUCUUCAGCUUCAGCCCAGCAAAGCUAAGCUGUGAAGAACUCCCUUUGCCUACCUUUGAAAAUCAAGAUGAGAUAUACAAAUAUAUAGAUGCGUAUAUUUCACUGUCAGAACCUAGACUGAAAAUUCACAUUGGCAAAUAGCAUGAGAUUAGUUUUUAAAUGGGUGUGACCAAUCCUGUUUUUCCUACGGGCUGGGUAAAUAGAACCUGAUGGUAUACUACUGCUUUGCAAAAUUGCCUACAAAUGUGCAUUACAAAGUUAAUGUGGUAAUUAUGGUUUAGGGUACAAUUGAGUUUUAGAAUAAAAUUAGGAACAGCAAAAUCCAAAAACUAUGUAAACAACAGUUCUCAUUUUGCUUAUAAAGUAUGUUUGAGGAUUAUUCUGCUGAAGAGUCAAUUUAAGUUUUCCUUGGGAGGCCGAGGGAAGAGAACGAACACCAGUAGUGGAACAGUAAUUAAUAUUGUGCACUAAUGACCUUCAUCUAUUUUCACUGAGAAUUUUUAAAAUUCUGUACUGGAAUGUUUAAAAAAAAAAACUUUAAAAAUUUGCAUUUCAUGCCAUCUAAACAAUAUUUUCUUCCCAAGUUGAAGACAUAGGAUCAGAGCUAGGGACAUAAAAAAAAUCUGUAGCUGCACACAGGCCUAUUUUUAAAAUAAACAUUUUUUAAAAUGGGUUUCCUUCUUGAAAAAAAAAAAUCAAUGUAUUGGGAUCAUAAAACACUGUUGUGAAAAAUAAUUGAACAAAUAAAAUUUGCUUUGAGAUGCACAGUUUUCAGAUGAUAAUCUCACAUUAAUUAAAUUUGUAAAGCUCUCCUACCUUUGUUAUAAUUUUCCUUUUUAACUAUCCACGUUUAUCUUCCUAGUUUUUCUAAUGCUAAUGCUAUUUCUAAUAAUUCAGUAAGAAUGGGGUAAAAUAAUGUUUGGGGACGAAUAUUUAAUAGAAAAUUAAAAUAACUUUUC